rnacentral:rRNA from 1 species
GACGAACGCUGGCGGCGCGCUUAACACAUGCAAGUCGAACGGAAAGGCCUGCUUUCCCUUGUGGAUUGCGGGUACUCGAGUGGCGAACGGGUGAGUAACACGUGAGUGAUCUGCCCCCAACUUGGGUAUAAGCCUGGGAAACUGGGUCUAAUUCCCGAUAGGACUGCAGGGUGGUGCCUGUGGUGGAAAACGAUUUUCUAGUGGUUGGGGAUGAGCUCGCGGCCUAUCAGCUUGUUGGUGGGGUAAUGGCCUACCAAGGCGGCGACGGGUAGCCGGCCUGAGAGGGUGGACGGGCACAUUGGGACUGAGAUACGGCCCAGACUCCUACGGGAGGCAGCAGUGGGGAAUAUUGCACAAUGGGCGGAAGCCUGAUGCAGCGACGCCGCGUGGGGGAUGACGGCCUUCGGGUUGUAAACUCCUUUCGACCGCGAGGAAGCCACCUGGUUGGAAGGGUGGUGACGGUAGUGGCAGAAGAAGCACCGGCUAACUACGUG